rnacentral:lncRNA from 1 species
UGAUAUUGCCUUAAUUUAUAUGAUUGAUUGAAUCGCAUGUAAAUGUCAUAUGAUCAAGGCCAUUUUUGAGAACCCUUCUCUAGCCAAAUUUUCACCCAAAAUGCUUGAAAAUAUUAUACCCUUUUUGAACCUUAGCCUUAAACAGGAUAUGAACCCAUGUUUUGACAUUCUUUACCUUGAGUUAGGAUGAGCUUAAAUGUAUGCGAUGAAAAGGUUCAAGUUUGGGGUUGUAUGGGGGGAAAAUUGAGAAAAGCAAAUGAAAAGCAUUGAGCUUGAAUGUUGUGAAAAGAAAAAUUCAUGAGAAAAAAAAAAAGAAAAGAAGAAAAGCAUGAAAAGGAGCUCAAUGAAAAAGAAAAAGGGUAAAAAGUUGGGAAUGAGUGAGAAUGGUGAGGAAGAGAGUUGUGCUUAAAUUGUUGAAUAUUUUGAAAGCUCUCUUAACUCAAGGACUUUGUAUUCUAGAAAAACCAAUUUUUCUUGUUAGCCCAACCUCAUUACAAGCCUUGAAAAAGUCCUUUUGAUGACAUUUGCAUGUAAAGAUGUUGAUUGUUUGAGAUGAAUGGCAAUUUUGUUUCAUGUGACUUGUGAACAAUAGAGAGUGGAGUGUUGCCUUAAAC